GCCUUCGUGGUGUAGUAGUCAGCACGCUCGACGCGUAUUCGAGAGGUCCGUGGUUCGAAUCCCGGAGAAGGCA
rnacentral:tRNA from 1 species